rnacentral:lncRNA from 1 species
UAGUAACAAAAACCAUAGAUUUAUUGUAGUGUUAUUAAAAUACUUGGAAAAGAAUGGAGAAGACAACAUUCUUCCUAAAGGUUUUCUUGGUGUCCUUUUUGCUUAUUUCGCUAGGUAAAUAAUAAUCUAGCUCUCUUUCUCUAUAUUCAUUUUUAUAGGCCACAAUUUCAACAAUAAUUUUAAAAUUUUCAAAUUCAGUAAAGUAGCAUACUAUUGACCCAAUUAAAUUUCUUAUAUAUUUUCGCCUUUAACUUUUGAAAAAGAAUUGUGCAAUUUGAGGUCUUUUUUAUAUUUAAUUAAUUAUGGCAGCUCUGGCUACUUCUUUUUCCCAAUAACUUAUUCAAUAAUGUCAAUUGGUGUUAAUUAGGACAAGCAAGCAAUGGACAUGUGUGCAAUAAGGAUGAUGACUGCAAUGAACAAAUGUAUUGCAUAUAUGGAACUCCAGCAUGUUACGUGAAAACACACAAGUGCUACUGUAAAAUUCCUUCAUAUCCACCUACUUAUAAUGAACCAGAGGAUCUCGAGAACGAU